AAUAAUAGUAAUAAUAAUAAUAAUAAUAAUAGUAAUAAUAAUAAUAACAAUAAUUAUAGUAAUAAUGAUAAUGAUAAUGAUAAUGAUAAUCGCUUUGUGUACGGGCGUUACGAUCGAAUCGUCAACAUUAUCGCGCCACUAAGGGUCUCCCGUGGAACUGAUACGGUCUUUAAAUAACUGCCAAAUAAAAACCAAGAAAACUCGAUACAGGGGCGUCCAACCUCUUUACAGGUAGAAACGUAAGCUGUAUUUCGCGUAAGAUUGUAAAUGUUACGAACUAUAAAUAUGUAUAUGAACUACACGUGUUGCUACAUGUUUUAAGAAAACGGAGCUUUCAAAAAGAAACAUGAAUAUCAUCAGACAGGAUACUACUCAUCGUAUUGCGUUUAGUAGCAAUUCUCAAUAUCGAUGCCGUGAUUAAUUCGAUCAUGUCUUAACGAAAAAAUUUGCCUUCUAAAAUAACUUAAUGAAGAAUAACGAUGGUCGAAUAGGAUAAAAUUCGAUGGAAAUCGUGGAGGAAGCAAAGUAUAGAGGACAAAACUGCCAAGUUGGACAGCCCCUGUUUUCCGUACAGACACGAAUCCGAAUUCUUGAAAGAUCUUCGAUAUGUCCGCGACAAAGGGUUCCGCAUCGAGCUAUGACUAAGAUCUGACAGAGGUACGUCAUUGAUCGCGUAAUCGUUCGCUCGAUUAACCUGCUAUCGAUUUGCGUUCUCCGAUCAUACGGAAGUUCUCAAUGACUGUACUCUGGCCACUCGAAAACUGUUCCUCGAGAAACGUUCUUGUUCAAAUUGUUUGCUUACGCUCUUCCUAUGUUGGCUAAUAUUACUUUCCGUGUUAGCUACCUCGUUCCAUGUUAGCUAACGUUCGCGUCAAAAGUAUUACGGUAGCUUAAUCAGAGAAGUUAAUGUCGCAACUUUCGGCACGUUAAUAGGAAAAUAUUUUUCCUUCCGAAAGCGGAAAGCUUUUCAUUCGUUGUUUCUAUUGUUUACUUUUAAUUUUAAUUUAACUCCAAUUUCCUAAAACCAAGGGACAAUUCAAUCGGUUCUCGUAUUUACUAAAGUGUGAUUCUAUCGCUUGUUAAAUUAUAACUCAAUGAGUAGCUUUUGACUCGUGUUUCCAGGAAUUCGAAAUCUCUAAUUAAGUUCUCGAAUUCAACGCGUUACGAAUGUACAAUCCGGGGGAAAAUGAAAAAAAGGACAGCCAUUUCGUCAAUCGUUACCGCAACGUGCGACAAAGCAGAAGUUGCGCUAGGUGUCUCUCGUGACCGUGGCUCGGAACAAUGGGUUGUGCGAACAGACAUUUGUCGGUCUGGUGCGUAAUCCUAGUGAAAGCUCGACGAAACGUAGGAAUUCAAUGUCGCGGUGGAUGUACGCGCUUUUCUACGCGCGGAUCCCUCAUUAUUGAAUAGCGGAAACUUCAGUUUAAAAGCAAUGGCUGGAUUUCACGGUGUAUCGUCCAAUACAAAGACCGAAACUCGACCUAUUGAAUUUAUUUAAAAUACGUUGCCUGCUAUAAGUAUGUUACUGUAGGUAUACUAUCUUAAACUGCGGGGAAAAGAGUUAUAUUAAAUAACGCCAACUGGAAGACACGUACUCGAAUUCAAGCAUCUUCGCCAAUUUGAUGAACGAGACUUUAAAAUCGCUGCAACACCUAACUGAACGUACGAAUAGCAUUUGUGCCGUAUUUCUAGCACACCGAUAACGCACAUUGAUACCAGACAUGUUAAUCGCUUCAUACUCGAGCGAAUUUUCAAAUUAACAUAAAUUACGUGGUCUUGCGAUAUAUUUCAGCCCUUUUACAUAUUAUUAAAACGGAAUUAACGAAGGAAGAUGGACGAUAUAUCUAUGUAUAUCUCGAUGAUAUUUCUACUAUGCAAAGUUUCUACAUUUUAGCCACGCGUUCGUGUAUUUAAUAUUUAAUUAAUAUUUAAUAUUUAAUACAUAAUAAAACGUAACACGUUGUAAACGGAUACGUUUAAUAUUCUGACGAGAUUCGGCGCGUAUCUGCACGGAACAGGAAUAUCGCGUUAAUCGUGUUAAUCCCUUUUUACUCAAUGGGUAAUUAUAAUUACCCAUCUUAUCGUUAGAAUUCUAAUUACCAAUCUCGUCGUAAGUAAUCUUCACAGGAGAAUUAAAUUAGGACCGUGAAACUGAUAUCGAGAAACAUAUUAGGUUACGACUAAUUUUGUCACUUUUCAAGGAGAAUUCGAAUGUUUUAGGAGGAUAUCGCGUAUAAGAUUGGACAGAUUAAUGGAAAAGGCGAUAAGAAAAGAUUAGGAGGUAUGGCAGUUGCACUCCUCGUAUCGUACAACGAAUGUAAAGUUAACAAUAUUCACACGAAACAUACGCAAGAAAUAAUAAUAAUCGUAAAUACAGAAUCGUUUUCCGCAACCGCGUCGAUUACGUUAGACGGGAAAAGAAGAUCGAUCGAUCAGAGGUUGAGAAAUAAAACGACAGAAUGCAGAAGUACAGUCAUUGAUCUUCGUAUCGCACAAAGAAACCGCCAAGUCCUUUGCUUAAAACUAUCGAAGCCCACUCUAUUUUUCCAGUAGCGAGGCUGUACGGAAUGAAAGAGUAUCGAUUAAUCGUUGAAACGACGCGAAGAAAAAGAAAACAUAAUAAUACUGAAUAAACUUCGAGGUGUUCUGAUGAAAUACUCAAAUAAUUCUGUACAUAGAAACAUGGUUGCGUGGCGUGGGACUCAAUGCGACGUAAAUAGGCAUCUCGAACAGUGUCAGUAAUAGUAAUCGUAAGGAUAAAUAUAAGUAAGAAUUUAAUCUAAAAUUUAAUAUAAAACGCCAUGUAAUUAAAGAAAUGAAAAACAAUGAAAAGCAAGAAACUUCCAAGAUGCGAAUACAGUAUCACGUAAAAGUUAUCUCGCGAUAAAUUUAAUAAAACGUAUAAAACGGAUCGUUGGCAAUCUUCUUUAGAAAGAUGCGUUCGAAAAAUCGACUCCUAGUUCGAUCGUUGUAAACGAAAGAGAAAUGAGACAGCAAAAGGAAGCUACGUAUCGUCAUACGAGGGAAAGAGCAAAAUUUUCCAAAAUAUCAUCUCGAAUAAUUUCUACCCGUCGAAGCUGUUCGUAGUCACCGACAAUCAUUUCGCGCGAAGUAAAACGCGCGCGCGAUUUAUAUUUAUAAGACGAAGCGAAAGAAAUUGUGAUAGUUUCUUCCUCUUUUUUUUUUUUUUCUGGAAAAUCAAAAUGUCUAGAAACGUGUGACGAGAGACUGGAAGACAGUUUCGAGAACAACGAAAAUACGUAUUGAACGUUUAAUAAAAAGCAAACACAAAUCGAAUCGAACAGGAGAGGAUUUGAACGACGAUUUUACCGAUUCCAGGGGAAUGUUUCGAUCGAUAAACGUGCUCCGAUCUACGACCUGGUGUAAUUUUCUAAUUCGUAGUUUCGUUUGCUUCAAACAAGUACACAUAUACGCGAAUAGCCGCGAUAUCGGUCUGAAAUCGUUUUGAAAUUGGCAACGAUCGCUCGUUAUUCCAACGAUUUGCAUCGAGAUCGUCGAUCGGCGCUCGGAAAGUUUGUUUCGAAAGCGAACUCGAUCGGAGCAUCGGCAGCAAACGGUUGCAAAUAUAAAAGAAACGCAGACCACGUGAAAAUAUUAAGGUAGAGGAUAGAGGAGAAAUAAUCGGCAUCGAGGAAAAACGCGGUGCUGGCAUCGUAAAAUCUAGUGGACAAUUUAUCCUAAUCGUAUUUAACAGAAAGAUUUUAUAUUAAAGAAGAACGAACACGGCGUAGAAGAGGCAUUUUUAACACGAAUGCUCGUUAAGUCAGCCUAGCUAGUAUCAGCUAAGAAAUUUCCCACGGUACUUGUAAUAUCAUUUAAGGGAUCGAACACGCGUUACAUUUCGUCUCGAUGGAUAAACGAUCGCGUGUAUCGAGUUGUAGAAAAUAAAAGGACGAAUAUAAAGUCCGUGUAACGAAUAAGAAUGAACGAUAUUCGCAUUCGGUAAUAGUUUGAUCGGUAUGCGAAAGCGUUAUCAUCUUUUGCCAAAGAAACGUCAUCGUUAAUGUCGUCAUUACAACUACUACUACUAUUACCACUAUUAUCACUAACUUACGAUACUAUUAACGCUACUAACUCUAUGGAACGUUAUUAUUAUUGUUAUUAUUAUUGUUGUUAUUAUUUUAUCAUGUUUCUUCUUAUCGUCAAGAUCAUCAUUAUUAUUAUUAUAUAUCAUCGUCAUCAUCGCCAUCAUCGUUACUACUAUUACCCAACAGCAUUAUCGUAACAAGGAAAGGGAAACAUGAUUACGCGAAAUGAAAGACGAUAAACGGCGACAAGCUUUCUCGUUUCGUUUUCCGUCGAUCGAAUCGCGACGAACGAAAAUGCCAAAUUUAGUUGCGUAAAUAUUAUAGUUUAAGCGAGAAAGGACAUUUCAAGGAAUUUGUUAUCGCGUUAAAAAAAAAAAACACCGACAUCGUUAGGCGUUCAGAGAAGAGAAGAACAAUUUAAAACAAAAUGCGCCUUUGCGUUGUCGCGAAUACUUUGCUCUUGCAUUAAACUAGAAAAAAAAAUGGAAAAAAUAAGUGACAUUCGUGGAACGAAUAAUAUUAUAGGUAAAUUUUCCGAAAAAUCGCAACUCGAUCGUUGAUUACGUACGUGCGUGUACUCGAACGAUUUUUCACGUUUCGCCGAUCGACGAAUCGAAAUAUCGCUCGAAGCUUGGCCAACGAUAACUCUUCUUCGAGUCGAACGUAGCAUAUAUCGUCGCGUGAAAAGAGAGCAAAAUCUCUCUGCCGUAGGAUCUGUACGCUAAAAGAAGCAGAGUAGACGUCUGCUAGGACAACGGGCAAAAAACGCGCAAUUUUCUCGAGUCUCUUUCCGAUAGGACGGCUAGAUUUCUUGUCUGUGCUUCGAAGAAAAAAAGGGAACGCGAACGAGUAGUCGAUUCGUUUGAUCGAGCAUCGAUCUCGCUGUAGAUCGGAUCGAUCGAAACUUGUAUCGUGUAAAUAACUUCUGUGAUAAGAAUUGAUUAUUAAAUCGUAGCCGAACGCGAAACCCCUUGAGAUGAACGUUGCGUCGGUAGCUGCGCCAUCCGAUCGGUCCGCGUCUCUAAAAGCUUAACCCGAUCUUCGCAACGUCUCCGUGAGUCUAUCUCGUCUUGUCGAGAAUCACGCACAUACGUAGUUAGAAGCGUAAGAGAAUUGGCGAUCGCCGCGUUCAGGCUGUCGGAUCGUUCUCGCGUAAAUAAUUCGUGGAUCGAAUUAUCGAGACGAAUCGUCGAGCAAACGAGGUAUUUUUUUACGAUUUCUUUCGCAGCCAUUAAAUCGAAUCACACGUUUCGUGGCAUCGUACGCUUCGAAAUCAUAGGAACGACACGCGCAUCGGUUGUUACCGAUCGCUCGUCGAUAAUUUGAGAAAAGUCAGCCGGUCGGAAUAAAAAUCACGGCAACGACUCGUCGAUGAAAUGGAAGUGUUAGGCGACUUCGAUCGCGCCGAUUUCGUUUCACUCUAACGAACCAGCCCCCCCCCCCCCAGUGCUUCCUUUUGUUCUACCGUUCGAGGCCGUUCGAUUUGUUUGUUCCAUUUUGCGGAUUCCCGUUCGACCGUCACGAGUCUUCGAACACGUAUGAAACGUAUUUGGUUCGCGCUAUUCCGAUACGUCGAGUCGUUUGGCCCGGAAAACAUAAUGCGAAAUGGCACCGUUUGAUCCGAUUUAGACCCAUUCAAGCCAUAAUUCAACUAUGAUUAACGAAUGAAUUCGAUAGUCUGACCGGUGCGCGCAGCCAACCGUAUUUCCAGUCGGCUGGCCGGCUGAUCAAAAUCAUCCGCGUCUACCGUGCACUUUCUGUCCUCCCGUCGAAUGAAACCGCGUUUAAAACACGUCCCAUCUGUUCGUUACGCAAGCUCUCCACUUCUGUUUUUUCUACAUUUUUUCUACGCCGAUCAAUGGACAUACUUUUACGGACACGAGCAAAGAAACGCAAGUGAAAUAGAAAUUCGUUUUAUCUCGUACAAAUUAUAACGAGUACCCUACUUUGGAUAUUUCAUAUAUUUUUAUAUAUUCUACGCAUUCUGUCCGUUUCUCCAUCUUUAACUUUCUAAGAUCACCGAUCUACGGACUCGUUGGUAAAACUGAAGCGGCCGUUCGCACCGUUUUAAACAGGAUCAUCAAAAUUGUAGGGUCAGAGGGAGACGUUGCACCACGCUGGCGAUCGUAAAUGUUUUACGAGUACUUUGGUCGAGAUUGAAUUAUUUGUAAAAACAAGCUAUAAGUAUAAAAAAGGAAUUCCAAGCACGAGCAUAAUAUCGUAGGCCAUUUGAUAGUUUGCUGUUAUCCUUUUCUUAGAGAAAUUGACCAUUAGUAAACCGACGCGUUGAUUCUUUACGUUACUUCGGUUAACGAAAGGUAAUAUCGUAAAUGGGAUAAGCAGAACGUUUGAUUUCUCGCUAGAUUCGACAAACUACUCCAUUUUUCUACGGUUAAAUUUAAAACGACGAGACGAACGAGCGGUACAGAUCGCGAGAACAAUGGUUUCGCGUUACGUGGCAGAAUCUAACGCGUCUUCGUUCGUGGCUAAACGUUGUCAAUUACGAACAGGUAUGCUCGACGAACGAAGGCGGGCCUGAUAGCGGAAACAGCGAGGCUUAACGUGGAAAUUGCCAAUCGUCGUCUAAUUUACCGGGUUGCAGCCAAUUUCGAGCCGAUACCGAAGAUGCAGAGCGUGAACCUUUCGUCGCUGCACGUGCUUGGAACGCCGUCGACAAUCGAGGAAACCUUCGUUCUAGUUCCUACCAGUAAUUCGGUGAUAGGUGAAAGAGCGAGCGAAGACGAAACGGCAAGAACACGAUAAUUCCAUCCUUGUUAAUUUUCCUUUACGUCGUUCAGCGACUAAAGCAUUAUUUCAACGUCAUACGGUUGAAAGCUAUUCUCGUAUUUACUUCUGAAAACGUUCUUAACGAGAUUUUCGUAUCUUUCAAAGUGUCAGAUGUUCCGAAAUAUUUUCUUUGAAAUCUGUCAUUCUACGUAUAUUCCCGCGAUGUCUUUCUAACGAUAAAAUCGACUUUGAGAUUAAGAGCGGUGAUUGGAAGCAGUGACAAAGAUUGGCUCGUUUCCAAAUUAUAAUAUUCCUUUCUAUCGAUCGAUCGUACUUGUCGUUGCGACGAUUGCUAAAAAUCGCUAUUUUUAACGAUUCGCAAAUUCUACGAAGUGGGAGAAGAAUUGCAAACUCGGCGAAAAGUGGCGAACGACUUUCGCCAAUGUACGAUCAAUUUUUUCAUCGCUUUCAAAGGCUAGAAAAAUUCUCAUUACGGAUUUUGACCAAAGUUUUUUCUUUUCACGAUUUUUCUGUUUCCUGUGCUUCGCUGCGCUGCUUUCGGUUAGCCUCGGGAAGACGUGGAUGCGUUUGGAUCUCGGAUGGCGUGGCGAUCAGCGUGCAAGAAUCAGAGCGCGUGGUCGUUAAAGUACUUGUUACACGUUUAAGCGAUUUCGUUUCAAAGCGGACGCAAAUACAAAAGAAAAAAGAAAGAAGAAAGAGUUAUUGUAAAGCGCAUCGUAUUAAUAACAAACAUGCAUAUACAUAUACGCAUGCUUCGGCCCCGCGAAUAUACAUAAACGUAUAAAUAUAGACGCGAGCGCGUAUGAAUAGAUCCAUGUAUAUUCAUCACGUAUAAAUAUAUAAAUAGGCGUGUGCUUAGGAGACAACGUUAUAUAAAUACGAACUCUAUGAACGACGUAUAGUUAACUAAGAACGAUAUACGUACGUUACAUACACGCAUACAUACACACGCGUGCAUACACUUAGCGAGAAUGAAAAAUUAUACAGGAUACCGUGUAAAAGGGAGAAACGUAAAAGAUAUCCGGCUUCGCGUACGGAACGUUACGGAACGUUACGGAACGUUACGGAACGCUACGGAACGCUCGAUGAAACUCGUAACGUUGAACUAUACAUAUAUCAAACACGGUUGAUAGCGCGAAGCGUUGAUAGAAAAAAGAAUUGUAAUACUUUUAAGGGAAUUUAUUAUAUAUAUAUAUAUAUUAUAACGAACUAAAUACAAAGGAAUUGAAUUAGGUUACACGGGCAACCAAGUAGUCUGUUCCCAUAUUCGUCUCUGUUCCUAUUUCUCUGCAACGUACUCGCCCCGGUGUACGACGGGGACAUUGAUUUUGUAUCGUUCUUCGUCGUCUCUCGAUCGCAAAACGGAGAAAUAUCGCGAGACACGUUAAUUAACGCGAACUUUCUAUGAUCGGUGUUACCGUGACGUCGACCGCGUAUCUUCGGCCAUCGACUCGCUGGGAUUAUUUUUAAUUUCGCAGUUGGAACGUUCCGCCGCGGCCGUUUCGUUCGAUCGAUCGUCGAACGUUCGUCGCGAUCGUCGCUGCCCGUUACGGAUAAGCCAGCCAGUCCCCGGCAGGACACGUUUGUUUACAUUUAUACGAAUACCACGUAUGUAUAUGUACAUUAUUAUUACGAAAUAGGCAUAUCGCGGGAAUGCGACGAAAUCGAAGGAACUCAGCCGCUCGACGUUUAACGAGAACCGGAGCGGAGGAUCUGUUUCUCUGGCAUUUCGAUCGCCGAUUCGUUAGGCCGUAAAACGAAAAAGGGGGCGAAGAAGGUGAACGAAGCUGGUCGUAAGCAUAAAUCGAGAUCGUCGUUUUCGAAUAGACGAGAAGAGAAUCGCGCCCUUUUCCCUCGUUUUUACGCCCGUCUCUCUCUCUCUCUCUCUCUCUUUUUCUCUUACCCUUCCAGAACCAGCUUCGUCCACCUUCUUUUUCUCUUUACAGGAACACGCUCGCGCGCCAAUGUAAACUCGCGCGGAUAAAUAAAACGAAAGGAGAACGAGAGCGAGGAAAAAUAUAGAAGGCAACGCGAGAGCGCUCGUUACCCUAUUCGAUCCGAGUUUGCGCGAUUUAUCCACAUACCGAUCAUUGUCAUGUCAUUCGAAACGACGCACAAUGACGACUAAUCGUUACGAUUCGAGAACUUAAGAGAAGACAAAACAAAGAAAUAGGGGAAAUAGCAUCUGGUGCAUCUAUCGACCAUUAUAUAUAUAUAUAUAUAAAUUAUAUACAUCUGUACGUACAAGAAUACACGCGUGGAGCAUAGGUGAGAAAAGGCCGCAAUCGCGAUGCGAAACCGAGUGAAAUGGUAGGUCAAAUAAUAAUUACUAAACCGGUGGAAAGCUACGUUUCGUUCGAUCGCGGGAAUCGCGUCGAAAUCUGUUUUUCUUUCCUUUUUUUUUUUCUUUCUUUCUUUAUUUUCUAACCGUUGCGACGUCUCGCCAAAGAUAAAUAUAGAUAAUCGCAGCAACGAUUUCGCUGCUACUCGUUUCCCCGCGGAUUUCUCUCACUUUUGUACCGAUUCAGCCUGUUUCACGGAUGUGACGCGAAACGGGAUCGAAACGCAACCGAAGUUUUCCGCAGGAUAACGCGGUAUUUGUUAUUUGAAACGCUGUUCAGCUCUCUCGUAGACUAGCCGUUGAAUCGAUUCACACACAUAGGCGUUUAAACGUGGUUUUAGAUAUUACUACGAUACCUAUUAAAUGAAAUAUCGCUCGUUCAGGCAGCGUGCAGUCUGCGCGAAUAGAGAAAAAAAAGAAAAUGGGAAAUCCAAGGGGAUACGCGAUAAAAAUAAAUAAAGUAAAAUAUUGAUAAAAUAAGAGAUAAGAAAAAAAAAAUAAUAAAAAAUGAAGCCGCGCGGUAUGCUCAAAACGUAGAGGAAAGUUUUAUCUCUGUACAUGCGCUUAAGAGAAUCCUUACCUAGAAAAUAUAUUACGAUUAUUACGAUGUUAAAAAAAGAAGAAAAAAAAAAAAGGAAAAAUAGAAGGGAAGAAGAUACGAUGAGAAGGAGAAAAGAAAAUAUAGAGAAGAUGUAACGAAAUUGCGACGUUCGAUGCGGUGCGAACGAAUCACGACUCGUCGUGUUUUAGGAUUAAGCUGUACCAAGGAAAUGAAAAUAACACGUGGGCUGAGUCAGGACAUUCGAUGAGGAUCGCGUUCGCAUGGCACAAUAAUAUCCAUUUAUAAGUUUACGCGGAAAUCGCAUGACAAUGUAAAAUAAAGAAAUAAAUAUUAAAAAAACCAGUGUGCAGAUAAUUUAAUGCUUCGAUAACGCCGGUAAUACUACGAGGUUACCGCUUAGCGAUUCUUUCCUCUUUUUACGAUCUACGUGAUUUUCACACGUUCUUUCGCUUCCGUUGAACUUUCCACAGAAAGAUCAAAAUUCUCUACGUUCGUCAACGGGUAACGUAUCCGUCGAUGAUUGGCGAGAAUUUUCGCACGAUUCUAUUUCCUUGUACGAAUUAAGGUAAGCUAAAACCCGAGAUAAGAUGGUUAAAAUUCGCAAGGCAGAGAGGUUCGUAAGAUGAAAUGUUUCUGUGGCGCAGAAGCUGCAAUUUCGAAUUUUCGACUCGAGAUAUUUUGUGCUACGCGAAUCGACGUUCGAGUAUAAAGUUGAGACGAAGCAAGGAAUGAAAAAGAAAUAUAUAUAUAUAUGUAUAUGUAGGUAUAUCGGAAACGUCCUGUCAGCUCCGUUUUUUCCGCCCGAACAGGACGAGAAGGAACGACGGCGGGACGUAAACGCGACAAAACAGGAGCAAAUAUCCGAAUACGUACGUGCAGCGAUAAAAUAAACAUCCGUAUUAUCUUCCGAACUAAAUAUAUACAAUAAUACGAAGAAUUUAAGGAUACCGUUAACGAUUAACGAUUAACGAUACGUAUUAAAUAGAAAGGGGAAAAGAUAGAAAAUAAGCCGAUCGAGAGGCGCGCAGGAUCGAUUCGCCGCGCCUUGUUCGCGCUCGUUCUGCGAAAAUUUUAUUCCGUGAAACGUUCGUUUUAUCGAUCGAGUUAUUUACUCCGUAAUAAUCUCGUUUCGUAUAAAUUUUCUACCGCCGACCGUAAUCCUCGAAUGGAAGUUACAAAUGCAACAAUUAAAAAUCGAAUUCGUUCUUUUUACGAACGAUAUUACAUAGAAAAUUGAUGAAAAUCUGAAGGGUCGUAUAAAAAUUUCAGAUAGAAAAUUACUAACCGAUGGAUUAAAAGUUCUACGUUAAACCAUUCGAGCUGCCGUGUAUCGUCGAUGGUACGCUUCUUUCCGAAUUAAAGUAAUCCCCAUCGCCGUUUCUAUUCGUAAAACGAGGCUCGUUGAUUCGUGGUCGUUGAAACGGAAGAUUCUAAUCAGCAACUUCGCAACGAUCGAUCCUGCGCACGAAACGUUCGGCCCGCGUACUCCUAAUUUGUAUUCAAAUUUUACACAAGUUUAUUCGAUGAAUAUUUACCGUAUUCUUUACGAAAGCUUUUAUUCUAUAAUCUGUACACGAUUUAAUUACGGCCGGGCCACGACGCGACGGCCCGAUGGCGUCGGGGCGCGGCUGUGCGCCUCGAACACAAUUAUCGAUGAUAAAAUAUAUGUAUACAUAUAUACAUACAUAUGAUAUAUUUUGCGCUAGACUCAUUUCCACCGUACAAUGACGAAGGCAGUCAAUAUCGUUUGCGAGGGUAGCUCGUCGGAUAGUCGGAUAUCGACAGGCGUCCAUGCUUUGCUGAAAUAUUAUUUCGUCGCGCAGUUGCCUGUAAAUUGUCAACGAUCGACCGCAGGCCGUAUAAAAAAUGAGUAUCCGAUUCUGUUGCCACGUUUCAUCGUUGCGCAGCUUGUUUCCCAAUGCUUUCGAAUUUAUUCCACUUUGUAUCAACUACCACAAACCUGAUUAUAUCGUAUGCGGUUCAAUGGGGAAAAAGAAAUACAGCUUUCGGAUCUAAGAUCAAGAAAAUAGAAGCACGAAGCUGUAAACACUUUGACCGCCACGCCGAAAUCGCGUGUUUCGCUGAGGACGCCGCAGUCUUUUAACACGGUACACCGUUAGAUGCGAAAUUUGUUCUCUUUCUUUUUUUUUUUUUUUUUUUUUUUAUUGGUGCUCGAGUAAAAAUGUUUAAUCGUUCAACGGGGCACUUUUCAUUUCAAAGUAUCUUCUAUUUAUCGGUUAUAUUCGAAAUGCCCUAACUGUCAAUUUUCGUUCAAUUUUUACUAUUGUAAGAAGUUGGAGAGCUCCGGUCACCAACGACCACCGUGGCGGUCAAUGUGAUCAACGAAUACGCGAAACGUGGACCUUAGCGACGGAAUUAUCGUUACAAAGUAUACUACGUUUUCUAUGCUUGAAAUUCCCAUUCGAACAUAUCGAUCGUAGGAUAAAUUCGAGACGCUUUGGGAACGAGCGACGGCCGAUAAUUAUUUUGUAUAGCUAGGAAAAAGGGUUGCUGGUACACGAACCUGUGGUACGAGGAUUCUGCGUCCAGAUGUAUAGCUCGUAACUUUAAAGCAUGUGUAUAUAGCACGAACUGCCGCCAAGGGAAGUGAAGUCUCCUAAUAUCGCAUCGCCUAUAAUAUUAACACUUGCGUGACCGCUCGCCUACGGACGCGAAAUUUCGCCAGUGGCAAUUUCCCAUGAAUUUCUAGUUAAGCGACCGUUCGACCGCGUUACGUCGAUUUAACUAGCUGGUCGCGAAAAUAACUUUGAUCGAGAGGAAAUACAGAGAUUGUCGCUUAAUCGUGUCUUUUCUUCUCCAUAGACGAUUCGAUGAGAAUAUAUUUUACUCAGAAUAUGAAUUUAUCGCGCUAAAUGCCGAAUAUAACGUUUCGUUUAAAUCACAGUUAUCGCUGCUGCUUAACGCAUCGUCGAACGAUCGUCGGAAUAAUCACGUUGACGCGUACACGUCGAUUUAAAUUCUCGUGGUAGCGUAGUUCGUUACGCAAAACGAACAAAAUUACGGUGUCUCCAUCUUCAUUCAACUAGGAAAAUACGCGAUAACGCGCGCUCGUUUUUACGCCAACGUAUCGGAUGACGAUGGGUUCACGAUCAGUGAUUCUCUUGGCAAAAGUCGCUAGCGGUCACGAAAGCGUGAAUGUCGCGUGUGCGAUUACUUUCGUUGUAAAUACGUCUAAAAUCAGCGCAGACGAUGUAAUUCGUGUUUGUCGUUAUCGAAGAGCGUAUUCUAGUUACGUAAAUUACGCGUGAUACCUAACCAAGCGACGAGAUCCGAAUGGUCGAGAAAGAUGGAAAGAAACGAGAGGGGAAUCGUUAAAACGAAACGAUCGUCGCUGUGAUCGACCCAUUCUCGGUCGAUUAUCUGCAAACACGAUUCCGUAAGCCUGCCUCGGAUCGUUGAACGUAGCGCGUCAUUUUUUCCGAUGCUUUGGCUGUACGAUGAAUUCCGUAAGAGCGCGUGUAGCUUAUACAUCGUACGAAUAGAACGCGUCGUGCGAUUGCGUUGCAAGGACGAUCUUAUUUAUAAUACUUUGUAUGUAGGACAUCAGGUGGAACGUGCGCCAUUAAAUUGCAACCAAGUUAUUGGAUUACUUUAUGCAUAAUCGAAGCGGGAGCAUUGCCUUUGAGCAUUCACUUUGAAGGACUAAUUGUAAUAUCGAUCGUCGCGAAUUAAUAAACUGCGCUGCGGCGAAAUAAUUCGAUAGUAGGACGCCGCGCGCGCACGCUUAGGCGUUAGACGUGCGUGGCGCGCGUGGCGAAAACACGAAACGUUUGUUCAUUCUGUCGCCCGUUUUUUAGGACAGACGACACACACCACGUCCUCGCAAUUCCUCCGAAUCGUGUAGCGUGUAACGUUUUUCUACGAUUUUAUUUUCACCGUGUCGCGUCGCAGACAUCCUUUGUAUAUCGAGCUGAUUUUUCUGUACAUAAAAAACGACAACAACAAUAACAGCAGGAACAACAACACGUGCGUCACACAGUUGUGUUAAACGAGAGAAAUAAAAUGUCUUAUUGAAGUUCGA